CCUACGGGAGGCUGCAGUGGGGAAUAUUGGGCAAUGGGCGCAAGCCUGACCCAGCAACGCCGCGUGAAGGAAGAAGGCGUACGGGUUGUAAACUUCCUUUAAGCGGGAAGAGCAGAAGACGGUACCUCUUGAAUAAGCCACGGCUAACUACGUGCCAGCAGCCGCGGUAAUUCGUAGGUGGCAAGCGUUGUCCCGAUUUACUGGGGGUAAAGGGCGUGCAGCCGGGAAGACAUGGCAGAUGUUAAAUCCCGCGGCUCAACCGCGGAACUGCCUUUGAAACUGGUUUUCUUGAGUACCGGGGAGGUCAUCGGAAUGCCUUGUGUAGCGGUGAAAUGCGUAGAUAUAAGGAAGAACACCAGUGGCGAAGGCGGAGGACUGGACGGCAACUGACGGUGAGGCGCGAAAGCGUGGGGAGCAAACAGGAUUAGAUACCCUUGUAGUC
rnacentral:rRNA from 1 species